rnacentral:misc_RNA from 1 species
GAUGAAGAACGCAGCGAAAUGCGAUACGUAAUGUGAAUUGCAGAAUUCAGUGAAUCAUCGAAUCUUUGAACGCACAUUGCGCCCGCCAGUAUUCUGGCGGGCAUGCCUGUUCGAGCGUCAUUUCAACCCUCAAGCUCAGCUUGGUGUUGGGACUCGCGGUAACCCGCGUUCCCCAAAUCGAUUGGCGGUCACGUCGAGCUUCCAUAGCGUAGUAAUCAUACACCUCGUUACUGGUAAUCGUCGCGGCCACGCCGUAAAACCCCAACUUCUGAAUGUUGACCUCGGAUCAGGUAGGAAUACCCGCUGAACUUAAGCAUAUCAAUAAGCGGAGGA